UUGCAGAAGCUCUUUGAGCAGGGU
rnacentral:piRNA from 1 species